ensembl:lncRNA
GUCGUAGCAACAGUAACUAUGGGAAGGAACGUGUGGAGAGAAGCAGCGAAUCAUGGAAACGUUUAUGGUGAUGCAGGUCGUUGGGACGAAAAUCCGUACUUCAAUCAAAUGAGGCAAGCAGUCAGAUCCCACCAGUUUGUGUGGUGACAUCAUAGACUGUAUAUGUAAGGGUGACAUCGGUCCACCAAUAACUCAUUAAUAUCUGGGAAGCUGUCCUAAUCUUGUUUUGUUGAACCUAGCCCACUGUCAACAUUCUGAGCUUGUAGGGCCUCUUCCGGAGCACAAGACUUUGAUGCCCGCUAAGGACCAGUCUGAUCUGAACAACCCCGAAGCUACAGAACGGGCCGAUGUGCUGCAACUGGAUAACUUGCAAGAUAAUAGUCUCCUCGAUAAAACAAAAAUAUCCCCGAAGGUUGUGGAGAAAAAGUAUCCUUUUCAACAGGGUUACAAGAUAAAGCCAUUCCACAGUGAAAACGAAGUGUUCGAGGACAAUCUUCAGACUCCUGCUCUCAAAGUUCAUGUCAACCACAAAAUCCCAUCCGGAGUUGACCUAUUGAUAGACCCUACAGGGUUCAAGCCACCUGCGAAAUUAGACAAUACCUUGAGCACUGUUUUCUUGGUUCUUAUUGUAUUAUUGUUUUUAAUCGAUGUUGUGAGGUUCUCCAAGCAUAAAAUAAGAAGAUAUAAUGCUGCCAGGAUGAAGGAAAGAGAGUCGGAUAUUGCUGAACCCCCGCUGACAUUGACGUCCAGAGUUUGGGUGGGCAUCUCCUCACUGUUUGGUCCAAAAGAGGCUGCAUCUCCACCACAGCUGUUUCCGGUUUCUGAUGAUGAUGCAGAGAAGUCAAUCUCCACCACGGGCAACUCUAAUCAUGAAAAGAAAUUCGGAAGGAGAACGUUUAGCUGGAGACUAUGGAGACCGACUCAGCGGAUUGUCCCACAGAACAAUCCGGUGCUCGAUACUGUGCCUUUCAUCGAGGUUCCACUGACCACAAUUCACCCACCCCUGGAAAAAGUUGUAUGUCACCACAUAGUCAACCACCAGACAACUGACAAGCCCUGCUACACAGGGUCGGGACUUCCUGAGGUCAGCAUCAGUUGACUUUGAGGACAUCGGAAACCAAUUAACAUUGAUUGGCCGAAAAUACCUCUUGUGACGUUUUUUCUCAUUUAAUUUGAUCAUAACUUUAGAGUAAUAAAACUUGCAUUCCAAAUGUACAGUAUGUCUGGUAUAGUUUGUCACACAAAUAACUGUCUCUCUAUGCCACUGUGUCGCUUGGCCUUGAGUUCGCUAACAUCCAUGCUAACAGGCCUCAGGCCUUUACUGCCCGUUUGUAUUUAACCUAGCCUGCUGAGUUAACUAUGAAGGUCGCUUGCAUCCAUGAUAAGUGGCGCUAAUGGGUCCGCCAUCUUCCCUGUGACUAAUUUGGAAAAGUCCGGCCAAUUACACAAAAAAAUAGUGGUGUUUUGUGCAGAAACAACUUGCUCCACAAAAAGGACCAAAGAUACGAGGGAGGCUGGAAUCACUUCAUACGGAACAAGGUUCCACAACGGGGGACGCUCAAGCAUCAUGUUUAUCCCUGAAUACAAAUACAAUCAUGCCUGAUAAGGCCCUACAGCUGUGUAGCAGCCUGGAGCCCCAACUCCUGCUCUAUAAAAUACACAGCUACCCCUGCAUUCACUGAUGUCAGAACCGCUCUUCACCCCAACUCAAACGGCAUGGGGCCCAAAAGUUGCAGCACCUAGUUCACUCCCUCUGGAAUAUAUAUGUAACUCAAAGUUCCCUUUCAGUUGGUCACUUUGGUGUCGCAAUGGGGACAAUACAUAGUGCCGCUAAGCCAUAGAGGUGGAAUACUGAUGUGAAGGACCAAGGCAACCUGCCCAAAAGAAAAUGAGCCACAUAAAAACAUGGGCACAAAAGGCAAGG